rnacentral:rRNA from 1 species
GACGAACGCUGGCGGCGUGCUUAACACAUGCAAGUCGAACGGAAAGGCCCUGCUUUUGUGGGGUGCUCGAGUGGCGAACGGGUGAGUAACACGUGAGUAACCUGCCCUUGACUUUGGGAUAACUUCAGGAAACUGGGGCUAAUACCGGAUAGGAGCUCCUGCUGCAUGGUGGGGGUUGGAAAUUUUCGGCGGUUGGGGAUGGACUCGCGGCUUAUCAGCUUGUUGGUGGGGUAGUGGCUUACCAAGGCUUUGACUGGUAGCCGGCCUGAGAGGGUGACCGGCCACAUUGGGACUGAGAUACGGCCCAGACUCCUACGGGAGGCAGCAGUGGGGAAUAUUGCACAAUGGGCGGAAGCCUGAUGCAGCAACGCCGCGUGCGGGAUGACGGCCUUCGGGUUGUAAACCGCUUUCGCCUGUGACGAAGCGUGAGUGACGGUAAUGGGUAAAGAAGCACCGGCUAACUACGUG